GGCCCCUUAGCUCAGCGGAAAGAGCUUCCGACUCAUAAUUGGCAGGUCGCUGGUUUAAAUCCAGCAGGGGCCACCA
rnacentral:tRNA from 1 species